CUGGCAACCAUUAAUAUGCUUUCUGUCUCUUGCUGAUUUGCAUCGGGAUACUAGAUGCUUAUGAGAUAUAUGAUUUGCAAAUAUUUUCUCCCAUUCUGUGAGCUGUCCUUUUACUUUCUUUUAGUCUCCAUUAAUGCACAAAAAUUGUAAAAUUUGAUGAAAUUCAAUUAGUCUAUUUUUUAUUUGUUACCUGUGCUUUUGGUUUUUGAAAUGAAACCAUUGCCUCAUCCAGGUCUGUGAUGGUUAAUAUUGAGUGUCAACUUGAUUGGAUUGAAGAAUGCAAAGUAUUGUUCCUGGGUGUGUCUGUGAGGGUGUUGCCAAAGGAGAUUAACAUUUGAGUCAGUGGACUGGGAGAGGCAGACCCACCCUCAAUUUGGGUGGGCACCAUCUAAUCAGCUGCCUUCGAGACUAGAAUAAAGCAGGCAGGAGAAGAUGGAAGAGCAGACGUGCUGGGUCUUCUGGACUUCAUCUUUCUCCCGUGCUGGAUGCUUCCUGCCCUCGAACAUUGGACCUUAAGUUAUUUGGCUUUUGGACUCUUGGACUUACACCAGUGGUUUUCCAGGAGGUCUCAGGCCUUUGGCCACAGACUGAAGGCUGCACUGUUGACUUCCCUACUUUUGAGGUUUUGGGACUCAGACUGAUCCAACACUGGCUUCCUUGCUCCUCAACUUGCAGACGGCCUAUCGUGGGACUUUACCUUGUGAUUGUGAAAUCUGCAAGCCACCAGUACUGCCUUACAAAAAAAGGUGCUUCCCCUUCCUCCAACCCCAUAUGCAAAUCCCAACAUACCAGAUGUGAAAGCAAGAAGGAAUGGAAAGAGAAGUCUACUCACAGGUCCCAUUCUGAGGCCUCCAGCCAAGGGGACGCCAUGGUGAAAACACUGCAGAGAGACCAUUAUUGUGCAAUGCUUCCCAUAUUAGUGGAUAUCAGAUGAGAAAUCUCAUGUUGGAGUAAGAUCACCACCAGAAUCCUGUUAGCAUGUUAGCUAAAACCUGAAGACCCUACAGCUAUCACUGACUGGUGAGUGAAGAAACUAUGAUUAAGAGGAAGGCAGAAUUGAGCAUCAACAUGCACAAAGGGUUAUGAAGCCAUGGGAACGAUUCUCCCAUGGGGGAGAAGGUGGUAGAAAUACUCACUUCCAUCCACAUGGUUGGAGUAGUGGUCAGAAUGUGGAAGAGGGUCUUCAAGGGCUCUGGAAGAAGACCCAAUCAGAGAACUGUGAUUCAAUGGGAGAGAGGGCAGAACCACAAUGAAUGAAAUCCUUUUUCCCUGACACAUACAAUGUUAGUGGAUACAGACUAACCAGCAUCAGUGUCAAUGGAAAACAAAAAUCACUCCGAUGUAGAAAGCUAAGAUGACAGAGAAAAUAAAACCUAGGCCGAACACGGUGACUCACGCCUGUAAUCCCAACACUUUAGGAAGCCAAGGCGGGUGGAUCACAAGGUCAGGAGAUCG
rnacentral:lncRNA from 1 species